UACAGAGGGGGCAAGCGUUAUUCGGAAUUAUUGGGCGUAAAGGGCGCGUAGGCGGCCUGGCAAGUGGAAGGUGAAAUCCCUCGGCUUAACCGAGGAACUGCCUCCCAAACUGCUUGGCUUGAGACCAGGAGAGGUGAGUGGAAUUCCCAGUGUAGCGGUGAAAUGCGUAGAUAUCUGGAGGAACACCGGUGGCGAAGGCGGCAUCCUGGACCGGUAUUGACGCUGAGGCGCGAAAGCUAGGGGAGCAAACGGG
rnacentral:rRNA from 1 species